GGAGAGGUGGCCGAGUGGCUGAAGGCACAGGUUUGCUAAACCUGCAUAGGGGGUCAACCUCUAUCGAGGGUUCGAAUCCCUCCCUCUCCGCGA
rnacentral:tRNA from 2 species